UACGUAGGGGGCAAGCGUUGUCCGGAUUCAUUGGGCGUAAAGCGUGCGUAGGCGGCUGCGCAAGUCGGUUGUGAAACCCCGGGGCUCAACCCCGGAACUGCAUCCGAUACUGCGUGGCUAGAGGUAGGUAGGGGAGAUCGGAAUUCCUGGUGUAGCGGUGAAAUGCGCAGAUAUCAGGAGGAACACCGGUGGCGAAGGCGGAUCUCUGGGCCUUACCUGACGCUCAGGCACGAAAGCUAGGGGAGCGAACAGG
rnacentral:rRNA from 1 species